CGACAUCCAGAAUCCACCGGGGUGCAGCGAGGCUGUGGAAAGUCCCACCCAGAACGUGAGGUGAAGAAGGCUUGGGCUGCGCUGGUUCUGCUCUGUCCGGGUCGGAGAUGAACUGAGCCGGGAGAGCAGCGGAGGGAUGUUUCUUUCGGCCAACAGUGGGCACUCAACUGCACGUUUUGCAAAGAGGCCCACAGUCCUUUGCGUGGCGCUCGGACUACAUUUCCCAACGGCUCCUGCGCGGCCUGGGGGCUGUUCCAUGCGGUGUUGCGCCUGCGUAGCCGGCGGGCUGGCAGUGAGACUGACUGCGUCCGGGUUGAGACUGGGUGGAUGAGGCUCACCCCGGCGGGGAGAAGGGACGAGGAGGGGCGGACAGCGGAAGGUCUGGGAGUGUCCGCCAUAAAGUCGUUUGAGGUGACCAUUGCGUAAUUGUGAGUCUGUGAGAGAAGAUGUGAAGUAUGGCCUCGUCCCGGUUAUCUGGGCGUGCGGGUCCCGGGUUUUGAUCGCGCGUUUGUGUAGGUGAGACCCACAUUGUGUUACCCUGAACAUGUGUGAGGACGAACCUUUGUGUUUUCUUAUACGUGUGUCUCUGAGGCGAUUUUUGUGGUUUUGUACGUGGCGGGGGGCACUGAUUUUGAAUAUGUGUGUAUGUUCUGGACAUUUGUUUAGCUUCUGCAUCCACUUUUGCGGAAGGGCAGAGUUGAGUAGGUGGGAACAGGUACUGUGUGGCCCCACAAAGCCUGAACUAUUUACUGUUGACUCUAGAGCCCCGUUUUUGUGGUGUGUACAUCUCUGUGGGGAACCACACAUUUUGAAUAUGUAUACUUGUGUAUAUUUACGUCUAUUCUAUGACUGCUUUUGCACAAUGGCAGGGUUCAGUACUUGCAGCAGCGAUCUUGUGGCCUAUAAAGCCUAAAAUACUAUCCGACUAAGGUUUCGAGCCGUAGCCGGUUUUUGUGGAUGAGUGUUGUGUGUGUGUGGGAAGCCAGUGAUUGAUUGAUUGAUUGAUUUGGGACGGAGUCUCUAUCUGUCGCCCAGGCUGGAGUGCAGUGNNNNNNNNNNGUCGCCCAGGCUGGAGUGCAGUGGCGCGAUCUCGGCUCACUGCAACCUCCGCCUCCAGGUUCAAGCCAUUCUUCUGCCUCAUCCUCCCUAGUAGCUGGGACUACAGGCGCCCGCCACCACGCCCGGCUAAUUUUUUUGUAUUUUUAGUAGAUUCGGGGUUUCACCAUGUGGGCUCUUGACCUCGUGAUCCGCCCGCCUCGGCCUCCCAAAGACUGUUUAAAUGCCAUUAGAUCUGAGUGUCCUUGAUACAUUCUUAGCCUGAAAACUAGAGGAAUAUGGGCUGGCAAACCAACACUGACAUAAAUAAAUGGCAAGGAAUAUUAAAAAAGAAAACAAGUUUUGAGAGCUACGGGAACAUAUAACUUUAGGAUAUUAAUCAUUUCAGAAAAGGCUU
rnacentral:lncRNA from 1 species